GGACUAAAGGACUGUCCUUCAAAUUCAUAAACAAGGACGACUGCUGACCGGGGCAGACUAUUAGACUUCUGGAUUUCUUGAAUUCUUUCGUGACAGAAGAAGAAUAAAUCAAAGAAGAACUCACCUUGGGAUUUGAAGAGGAGAAUGAGGAGCAAUUCUAAAGUGUCCCUGUCUUGUGACCCUGUCACAUUCUCAGGGAAAUGAACAUAGGGGAGGCUACAGGAUAUCCUAGCAAAAGAGGCAGCCGCCUUCUGACUCUUGAGAAGAGUUCUGUGCCCUUCCCACACAUGCCCCAUUGAUGAGAGGGCUCCUCUAGCACCCUGAUCUUUUCUGGAGCGUUCUAAUUCAACAAGUAUGGUUUCCUGGACUGGAGAAGUCUGACUAGCAGUUUUCUUCAGGUAAGUGACAUUUCUGCUUCAAAUUCUAAGAAUUCUAAAGAAUAAGAAAAUAAACAAUGCAAGAAUAAAAACAAAACUAAACUA